CGGACGGGUGAGUAACACGUGGAUAACCUACCUAUAAGACUGGGAUAACUUCGGGAAACCGGAGCUAAUACCGGAUAAUAUAUUGAACCGCAUGGUUCAAUAGUGAAAGACGGUUUUGCUGUCACUUAUAGAUGGAUCCGCGCCGCAUUAGCUAGUUGGUAAGGUAACGGCUUACCAAGGCAACGAUGCGUAGCCGACCUGAGAGGGUGAUCGGCAACACUGGAACUGAGACACGGUCCAG
rnacentral:rRNA from 1 species